GGCGAUCUCUAUCGUCUGGAAGUUUUACGGUUCUGGGAGUGGACUCGCGGCCGUAUCAGCUUGUUGGUUGAGGUAACGGACGUCACCAACGGACGGACGACGGGUAGCCGGCCGUCGAGAGGGCGACCGGCCACACUGGGACUGAGACAGGCCCAGACUCCUACGGGAGGCAGCAGUGGGGAAUAUUGCACAAUGGGCGAAAGCCUGAUGCAGCGACGCCGCGUGAGGGAUGACGGCCUUCGGGUUGUAAACCUCUUUCAGUAGGGACGAAGCGCAAGUGACGGUACCUGCAGAAGAAGCACCGGCCAACUACGUGC
rnacentral:rRNA from 1 species